GAUGAACGCUGGCGGCGUGCCUAAUACAUGCAAGUCGAGCGAACAGACGAGGAGCUUGCUCCUCUGACGUUAGCGGCGGACGGGUGAGUAACACGUGGAUAACCUACCUAUAAGACUGGGAUAACUUCGGGAAACCGGAGCUAAUACCGGAUAAUAUAUUGAACCGCAUGGUUCAAUAGUGAAAGACGGUUUUGCUGUCACUUAUAGAUGGAUCCGCGCCGCAUUAGCUAGUUGGUAAGGUAACGGCUUACCAAGGCAACGAUGCGUAGCCGACCCGAGAGGGUGAUCGGCCGCUCGGGAGCUGGGACACGGUCCAGACUCCGACGGGAGGCAGCAGUAGGGAAUCUUCCGCAAUGGGCGAAAGCCUGACGGAGCAACGCCGCGUGAGUGAUGAAGGUCUUCGGCUCGUAAAACUCUGUUAUUAGGGAAGAACAAAUGUGUAAGUAACUAUGCACGUCUUGACGGUACCUAAGCAGAAGGCCACGGCUACCUCCGU
rnacentral:rRNA from 1 species